rnacentral:rRNA from 1 species
GGUACGGGCAGACUAGAGUGAUGUAGGGGAGACUGGAAUUCCUGGUGUAGCGGUGAAAUGCGCAGAUAUCAGGAGGAACACCGAUGGCGAAGGCAGGUCUCUGGGCAUUAACUGACGCUGAGGAGCGAAAGCAUGGGGAGCGAACAGGAUUAGAUACCCUGAUAGUCCAUGCCGUAAACGUUGGGCACUAGGUGUGGGGGACAUUCCACGUUUUCCGCGCCGUAGCUAACGCAUUAAGUGCCCCGCCUGGGGAGUACGGCCGCAAGGCUAAAACUCAAAGGAAUUGACGGGGGCCCGCACAAGCGGCGGAGCAUGCGGAUUAAUUCGAUGCAACGCGAAGAACCUUACCAAGGCUUGACAUGAAUCAGUAAGGCGCAGAGAUGCGUCCCCCUCUUGAGGCUGGUUUACAGGUGGUGCAUGGUUGUCGUCAGCUCGUGUCGUGAGAUGUUGGGUUAAGUCCCGCAACGAGCGCAACCCUCGUUCUAUGUUGCCAGCACGUGAUGGUGGGGACUCAUAGGAGACUGCCGGGGUCAACUCGGAGGAAGGUGGGGACGACGUCAAAUCAUCAUGCCCCUUAUGUCUUGGGCUUCACGCAUGCUACAAUGGCCGGUACAAAGGGUUGCGAUACUGUGAGGUGGAGCUAAUCCCAAAAAGCCGGUCUCAGUUCGGAUUGGGGUCUGCAACUCGACCCCAUGAAGUCGGAGUCGCUAGUAAUCGCAGAUCAGCAACGCUGCGGUGAAUACGUUCCCGGGCCUUGUACACACCGCCCGUCAAGUCACGAAAGUUGGUAACACCCGAAGCCGGUGGCCUAACCCCUUGUGGGAGGGAGCUGUCGAAGGUGGGACUGGCGAUUGGGACCAAGUCGUGACAAGGUAGCCGUA